rnacentral:rRNA from 1 species
UACGUAGGAUCCAAGCGUUAUCCGGAAUUACUGGGCGUAAAGCGUGAGCAGGUGGUUUAUUAGGUCAGAUACUAAAUCUUACGGCUCAACCGUAAGCUGCAAUCUGAAACCAAUAGACUAGAGGUCGGUAGAGGCAAGCGGAAUUUGUAGUGUAGCAGUGAAAUGCGUAGAUAUUACAAGGAACACCAAUGGCGAAGGCAGCUUGCUGGGCCGCACCUGACACUCAGUCACGAAAGCGUGGGGAGCGAACGGG